rnacentral:lncRNA from 1 species
UUAUUCACCAGCACGAUAUUCUAAAAUAAUAUAUAUAAAUAUAAAUAAUAACGGAUGGAAAUGAUCAAUAGGGUGGAUCUAACGACCGAAAACUUAUAAAUAUAAAGAGACUUAUACUCGUAAGAGUAUAGUAGCCGAACUCAUAUAUAAGAUAGGGCUAUUAAUGAGUAUAGAUCAUUUUAUAUUUAUAAAUUUUUAGUUGUUGGAUGAAAGGACGUGCAGUUAAAAUGAUAGUUGUCCUCUAAAGUUGAGUAGGUGGUUGGUUAAAUAAUAUAAUCUAACGGAUGAAAAUGAUCACUGGGUUGAAUCUAACGGUCGAAAAUUUAUAAAUACAGAAGAACUUAUACUCAUAACAGUAUAGUAACCUGCAAGAUAUUGGCAUAUUUGUUCAUUCAAUUCGAUCCUCC